UACGUAGGGUGCGAGCGUUAAUCGGAAUUACUGGGCGUAAAGCGUGCGCAGGCGGCUGUGUAAGACAGAUGUGAAAUCCCCGGGCUCAACCUGGGAACUGCAUUUGUGACUGCAUGGCUGGAGUGCGGCAGAGGGGGAUGGAAUUCCGCGUGUAGCAGUGAAAUGCGUAGAUAUGCGGAGGAACACCGAUGGCGAAGGCAAUCCCCUGGGCCUGCACUGACGCUCAUGCACGAAAGCGUGGGGAGCAAACAGG
rnacentral:rRNA from 1 species